rnacentral:rRNA from 1 species
CGUACACUCCUGCGGGAGGCAGCAGUGGGGAAUAUUACACAAUGGGCGCAAGCCUGAUGCAGCCAUGCCGCGUGUGUGAAGAAGGCCUUCGGGUUGUAAAGCACUUUCAGCGGGGAGGAAGGCGAUACGGUUAAUAACCGUGUUGAUUGACGUUACCCGCAGAAGAAGCACCGGCUAACUCCGUGCCAGCAGCCGCGGUAAUACGGAGGGUGCAAGCGUUAAUCGGAAUUACUGGGCGUAAAGCGCACGCAGGCGGUCUGUCAAGUCGGAUGUGAAAUCCCCGGGCUCAACCUGGGAACUGCAUUCGAAACUGGCAGGCUUGAGUCUUGUAGAGGGGGGUAGAAUUCCAGGUGUAGCGGUGAAAUGCGUAGAGAUCUGGAGGAAUACCGGUGGCGAAGGCGGCCCCCUGGACAAAGACUGACGCUCAGGUGCGAAAGCGUGGGGAGCAAACAGGAUUAGAAACCCCUGUAGUCCCA